rnacentral:rRNA from 1 species
AGAGUUUGAUCCUGGCUCAGAUUGAACGCUGGCGGCAUGGCUAAAACAUGCAAGUCGAACGAUCCCUUCGGGGAGAGUGGCGAAAGGGCGAGGAAUCCGAUCGAAUGUACCCCGAGGUGGGGGAUAGCCUGGAGAAAUUCAGGUUCAGGGUAAUACCCCAUAAUCUCUACGGAGCAAAGGCUUGCCGCCUUGGGAGCAGCGAUCGACCUAUCAGGUAGUUGGUGAGGUAACGGCUCACCAAGCCGAAGACGGGUAGCGGGUGUGAGAGCAUGACCCGCCGCAUCGGGACUGAGACACUGCCCGGACUCCUACGGGAGGCUGCAGUAACGAAUCUUCCGCAAUGGGCGAAAGCCUGACGGAGCAAUGCCGCGUGUAGGAUGAAGCAUCUUCGAUGUGUAAACCACUGUCAGGGUCUAGCAACCAUGAGCAGACCCAAAGGGAAGGACCGGCUAACUCCGUGCCAGCAGCCGCGGAAAUACGGAGGGUCCGAGCGUUAAUCGGAAUUACUGGGCGGAAAGCGUGCGUAGGCGGAUCGGAAAGCGUCUUGUGAAAUCCCCCGGCUCAACCGGGGAACAGCAGGGCGAACUACCGGUCUUGAGGAAGGUAGAGGCCGGCGGAACGAUCGGUGGAGCGGUGAAAUGCGUAGAGAUCGAUGGGAACGCCAAUGGCGAAGGCAGCUGACUGGGCCUGUUCUGACGCUGAGGCAGGAAAGCGUGGGGAGCAAACAGGAUUAGAUACCCUGGUAGUCCACGCCCUAAACGAUGCGCACUAGACCGGGGAGGCUUUCACGCCCUCCCGGUCGAAGGAAAACCGUUAAGUGCACCGCCUGGGGAGUACGGUCGCAAGGCUAAAACUCAAAGGAAUUGACGGGGGCUCACACAAGCGGUGGAGCAUGUUGCUUAAUUCGAGGCAACGCGAAGAACCUUACCAGGGUUUGACAUGUAUGGAUUAGCUCUUGGAAACUUGAGUAAGACGCCCUUGGGUGGAACAUGCACAGGUGCUGCAUGGCUGUCGUCAGCUCGUGCUGUGAAGUGUCGGGGUAAGUCCCUUAACGAGCGCAACCCCUAUCGUUAGUUGCUAACAGGUUAUGCUGAGUACUCUAGCGAGACUGCCGGUGUCAAACCGGAGGAAGGUGGGGAUGACGUCAAGUCCUCAUGGCCCUUAUGUCCUGGGAUGCAAACGUGCUACAAUGGCGUGUACAGAGCGAUGCAAUACCGCGAGGUGGAGCAAAUCGCUUAAAGCCGGCCCCAGUUCGGAUUGCAGGCUGCAACUCGCCUGAAUGAAGUUGGAAUCGCUAGUAAUCGGCGAUCAGCUACGCUCCGGUGAAUACGUUCAUGAGCCUUGUACACACCGCCCGUCACGUCAUGGAAGCUGUUAGUGCCCGAAGUCGCCACGAUACUGUGGUGCCUACGGCAAGAUCGGUGACUGGGACUAAGUCGUAACAAGGUAACCGUA